rnacentral:lncRNA from 1 species
GGAGAAUGAGAUUUGGUCCUAUUGCACUGCUUGAAGUGUUCUCGUAGCAUCUCCAGUUUUAGUUUGUCGUCCACUGCAGCUACUGAUAACAAUGGUGGCUAUAAUUACUAUUAUAGUGAUGAGAAUGCAGCAGAUUCUGCUACAGGGGAGAAUGAGAUUUGGUCCUAUUGCACUGCUUGAAGUGUUCUCGUAGCAUCUCCAGUUUUAGUUUGUCGUCGAGGUUGUCUGUUUUUGAAUAAUACCCUUAGUUGGUAAUGCUUUUCUAAUAUCAAUUUUCUUUGUUUAGUUUCUUGUUUUCGUUGUUGAAUUAAAAGAUGCAAUAGAAAGGAGGGAUUUUUCCCUGUGAUCUGUUGCAACUUUCUGUUAUUGUAUUUUAAAGAGGAAGAGUGGCGACAUGACCGAAUCAAUUUGAUGUAUGAUUCGGCCUCUUCCUGUGUAAUCUCCUGCUCUUUUUACUGCAGUUUGUUUUAGCAUGAGUGUUUGUUAUUCUCUUUCUUUAAAACAAAAGUACCCAAAUUGAAACUAAAGUUGAAAAA